AUUGAACGCUGGCGGCAUGCUUUACACAUGCAAGUCGAACGGCAGCACGGGCUUCGGCCUGGUGGCGAGUGGCGAACGGGUGAGUAAUAUAUCGGAACGUACCCAGAAGUGGGGGAUAACGUAGCGAAAGUUACGCUAAUACCGCAUACGAUCUAUGGAUGAAAGCAGGGGACCGCAAGGCCUUGUGCUCCUGGAGCGGCCGAUAUCUGAUUAGCUAGUUGGUGAGGUAAAGGCUCACCAAGGCGACGAUCAGUAGCUGGUCUGAGAGGACGACCAGCCACACUGGAACUGAGACACGGUCCAGACUCCUACGGGAGGCAGCAGUGGGGAAUUUUGGACAAUGGGCGCAAGCCUGAUCCAGCAAUGCCGCGUGAGUGAAGAAGGCCUUCGGGUUGUAAAGCUCUUUUGUCAGGGAAGAAACGGUAGAGGCUAAUAUCCUUUGCUAAUGACGGUACCUGAAGAAUAAGCACCGGCUAACU
rnacentral:rRNA from 1 species